rnacentral:pre_miRNA from 1 species
AGAUACCCCUAUGGAGCAGGACUUGCUUCAGAGGGAAUUUGGUACUCACUGAGUCUGCCCCUUGAGUGUGUCGCU